GGUCGAUUAGCUCAGUUGGUUAGAGCGCCGUACUAAUAUCAGCUGAUUAAAGCGCCGUGUUCAUUUGAGGAAGGCCACCCGCUUCGUGUUGUUCAUGCGGAUGUCAUGGGUUCGACCCCCAUAUUGACCA
rnacentral:tRNA from 1 species